rnacentral:rRNA from 1 species
GACGACGCUGGCGGCGUGCUUAACACAUGCAAGUCGAACGGUGACGGAGAGCUUGCUCUCCUGAUCAGUGGCGAACGGGUGAGUAACACGUGGGCAAUCUGCCCCAGACUUCGGGAUAACGCUUCGAAAGAGGUGCUAAUACCGAAUACGAACGCCGUGGGCAUCCACGGUGUUGGAAAGUUUUUCGGUCUGGGAUGGGCCCGCGGCCUAUCAGCUUGUUGGUGAGGUAAUGGCUCACCAAGGCGACGACGGGUAGCCGGCCUGAGAGGGCGACCGGCCACACUGGGACUGAGACACGGCCCAGACUCCUACGGGAGGCAGCAGCUAAGAAUAUUCCGCAAUGGACGAAAGUCUGACGGAGCGACGCCGCGUGGAUGAAGAAGGCCGAAAGGUUGUAAAGUUCUUUUGCUAGGGGAGAAUAAGUGAGGGAGGGAAUGCCCUCAUGAUGACAAGGACUAGCGAAUAAGCCCCGGCCAACUACGUG